UACGGAGGGAGCGAGCGUUGUCCGAAGUUACUGGGCGUAAAGCGCGCGUAGGCGGGGAAUUAAGUGAGAAGUGAAAGGCUGGGGCUCAACCUCAUGCAGUGCUCCUCAUACUGGUUCUCUUGAGGGCGGUAGGGAGAAGUGGAAUGGCUGGUGUAGCGGUGAAAUGCGCAGAUAUCAGGAGGAACACCAAUUGCGAAGGCAGCUCGCUGGGACGUUACUGACGCUGAGACGCGAAAGCGUGGGGAGCAAACAGG
rnacentral:rRNA from 1 species